UACAGAGUUUCUGGAGCAAGUUGCUUCGUCUAGCAAGUCUGGCUUCUUCUUCACAAUGAGAGCUUCAAAACGGAAAGGCACUUGCAUGCCAGCAUAUUUGCCCAGCUGUGCAGUAAUUGUCUUAAAUGUGAACUGAUGGAAGAAAAACAAACAAUGAGAGACUUUGUCCUCAACCCCAGACACUGACAAUGAAACCAUCCAAAGCAAAAAUGACAUUGAGAGUGAAAAUAAAACCUAGCCCAACCUGAAUGAGUGUUCUGUUUGUUUUUGAAAUGAGAUAUUCUAUCUCAAAAACUGUUGAGGCUUACUCUGGUGUCUCCAGGUUAAGGCUUGAAAUAAAA
rnacentral:lncRNA from 1 species